UACGGGGGGGGGGCAAGCGUUGUUCGGAAUUACUGGGCGUAAAGGGCUCGUAGGUGGCCAACUAAGUCAUACGUGAAAUCCCUCGGCUUAACCGGGGAACUGCGUCUGAUACUGGAUGGCUUGAGGUUGGGAGAGGGAUGCGGAAUUCCAGGUGUAGCGGUGAAAUGCGUAGAUAUCUGGAGGAACACCGGUGGCGAAGGCGGCAUCCUGGACCAAUUCUGACACUGAGGAGCGAAAGCCAGGGGAGCAAACGGG
rnacentral:rRNA from 1 species